rnacentral:rRNA from 1 species
GACGAACGCUGGCGGCGUGCUUAACACAUGCAAGUCGAGCGGUAAGGCUCCUUCGGGAGUACACGAGCGGCGAACGGGUGAGUAACACGUGAGCAACCUGCCCUUCUCAUCGGAAUAAGCGUUGGAAACGACGUCUAAUGCCGAAUAUGACAACGGAUCGCAUGAUCUGUUGUGGAAAGCUCCGGCGGAGAAGGAUGGGCUCGCGGCCUAUCAGCUUGUUGGUGGGGUAACGGCCCACCAAGGCGACGACGGGUAGCCGGCCUGAGAGGGUGACCGGCCACACUGGGACUGAGACACGGCCCAGACUCCUACGGGAGGCAGCAGUGGGGAAUAUUGGACAAUGGGCGCAAGCCUGAUCCAGCAACGCCGCGUGAGGGAUGACGGCCUUCGGGUUGUAAACCUCUUUCAGCAGGGACGAAGCGAAAGUGACGGUACCUGCAGAAGAAGGACCGGCCAACUACGUGCCAGCAGCCGCUGUAAUAC